rnacentral:lncRNA from 1 species
GUUGGCUAGGGAUGGCUUCAGGCAAGGUGGCGGUGGACUGAAGAAAUAUUAGAGAGAGGUGAUUAUACAUGACAUGGAGCAGCUUUUGAUCAUCUAGGACAUGACUCUAGAUAGAAAGGUGUGGAGGAGGCGGAUUAGGGUAGAAGGAUAGUAGAUAGGAUGUGUCAUUGUUAGUAGCUAUGUUGCUCAGACUCUUCAAAAAUGUCGACGGGUGCAUGUCGGAUCCUCCAAAAAUAGUGUAUUUUUGAAGGAUCCAACACGGGUGUGGCACCAUUUUUGGAGAGUCCGAGCAACUUAGGUUAAUAGUAGGAGGACUUUGUUUUGUUAUUCGUGCUUGUAGCUAUAGUAUUAGUAUUACUUCAAAGUGUGUCAUUAUUUGUUGUAUUACUUGGUGAGGCUUGUUUAUGUUAUUAUUGGGUGUAGUUAUUCAUAUUGCUUCUUGUCCUUUUACUAUUUCUUUUCUAGAUUGUUGUAUCUUGAGCCGGGGGUCUACCGGAAAUAGUUUCUCUACCUCACAUCUGAGGCAGUGGUAUGGACUGCGUACACUUACCCUCCCCAGACCUCACUUGGUAGGAAUAUACUGGGUAUGUUGUUGUUUUACUGUACGCCUCUCAUAUUAAGUACUCGUUCAUGUGGAAUGCAGUACACCUCUCAUAUUGAAGUCCUCGUUCAUGUGGUGUUAGCAAUUUCUCUAACAUGAUGUCUCAUUCUGGGUUUUAGCAGCAAGUCUAUCCUCUGUAAGAAAAUUCUAAUGUUGUUAAAUGAUUUGCAGUACACGGUAAAAAAUUUGCAGUUUGCAUUAACAGUUGAACCUGGCAAUGCCAAAAUUGCACAAAAGUUGGCAUGGGCUGAGCAUCAGAGAAGAGUAGGCCAUCCAACUAUUCCAUCAACCAUUCAGGAAGAAUUUGAGAGUAACCCAUUCAUGCGGGUUGAUCUUCCAGAGGUUCAGGUAAACAUUAGUUCUUUAAUACCUUUUUAUUGCAUGGUGGAAGGGAAGAAAUACUUCUGAUAAAUUAGCUUAGAGUCAGGACAACAAAGAGUAUGAUUUAGUGGUUAAUGUAGCGGGACAAACCACAGGAGACUGGGUCUCAACAGGGAAAAAAUUUCCAGGUGCUGCUUUUCUCCAUGUGCCACAAAGCCUUUAUUAACAGGGAUUUUUUGCUUGAUAAACAGGAGAAAGUGGGGUGCAAGUCUCCUGUUGAAGCCUUGCGUGAAAUCAGGCUGCGAAAGGAUAAUUGGAAGGGCUGAACGAUAUCAUGAGUCCAAGUAUAAUGUAAUUAAUGGUUCAUGUUUGUGCAUCUAAUAAGGUGGAACUGUCAACCGACAAGUUAAAUUAAACGUGUUGGAAGUGUGCAUUUUCAAUGUUUUGUCUUCAGCAUCAUAAUUCUGACAUUUACUUGGAAUUUCAGCAGGCCUCUUCCUUUCCCUAUACUACUCCACCAAUCUUCUCACCAGGUGGAUUGCCUUUGUCGUCGAGCGACCAGGCAUAAAACCAAAUUGAUUCUCCGAAAUGGACAAUGCAAGCAGGAGGAGCUAUUCUCUUUAAAAAAAAUGUAUUAUUAUACUGAUGGAUGGUCAAAAUAGUUUUCUUUUAACAUUUCCAUCUCUUUGGCUUGUAGUUUAUUGCUGGUUGCGGCAAGUUUUUUGAAGGCACUGCAGAACAAAUGUAUCAAUCACUGUGUGUGACACUAGGUUCUUUGCCAAAGCCAACUCGGGUAUAUUGUGGUCAUGAGGUAAUGUAUUCAUGCUCUUGUAAUUUUCUUAAAGAAAAGAAUUAUCCCGUCUCAUCAUAUAGUUUCUCAGAUCUGCUUCUAGAUUUUGUGCAUCAACAGUUGACUCUCUAAUGUGCCACAUUUGUACAACUUUCAGUAGGACCACUAGAGAAAGUUUAAUACACUUGAUAACAGAGUAAAAAAAGUGAGCAGAAUAUGUGGUUAAAUUGCCUUUUCUUUGUCCAUUAGUCAAGGACUAGAGUAACUUUAGCCUCCCCAGUUCUAGUUUAUCUUUAUAUCACAGAAACAAUUUCUCGUUUUUAUUGAUCAAAAGAAUUUCUCCUUUAAUUUUCCUCCUCUUUAGAGUUCAUGUACCAGGUAUGAAGGUUUAUUUGCAUUCAGUAUUAUGAACACUUUAGUUGAAAAGAACGACAAAUAAAAAUUUAAAUAUUUUCCACCUCGCAUGUACUUGCUCACAUGCAAAAAGCUCUCUCUAAAUGUGCAUACAGUAUAUCACAUGUAUUUGACCUGGGCAAGUAUUCUAAGAUUUUUCUUGUGAAAAGAUGUCAUCAACUGUACGACACUGCUGCAUUUCAAAUGUGCAGUACUUUUGAUUCCAAUACUGAUAAGGUUGCAUAUGUAUGAUGCUCCUGGUGUCUGCUCUACAUCAGAAUUGUUCUGUCUUUAGAUUUUUGAAUCUAUUUCUUCCAGUGAGAUCAGUUGAACUUCAGGAAGACUUAAACCCCUCCCCUUCUCCCCCCCUCCCUCCCUCCCCCACCCCAAAAAAAAAAGGAAAAAGGAGAAAUAUUAUCUCUUAGCCGCUCCGGCUUAUUCUCCAUCAUCCCCUCUCUAAUUAUUCUGCCUCUCCCAUCAGUACAAAUUCAUUGUGAUGUCAGAGGCGAAUCUUACAAUAAACCCUUGAGGUUCAGCCCUUUCUCGAACCCUGCACAUAGCAGGAGCUUUAGUGCACCGGACUGCCUUUUUUUUCUUAGUUAGAGGCGAAUCGAGGAUUUCAAGAUGACGGGUGCACCAUCGCUUUUUAACAUAAGAUAUAAACUUAUAUGAUAAUGACUUGGUGAACAAACGAUAAAUUAAUUACAUUAUCACAAAAAAUAUCAUCAGUUUACGUGUCUUUUGGCUAUUGUCUGCAUAUUCUGCUUUAGAUUUUUUAAAACGGGAAAGGGUCAAAAUUACCCUUGAGCUAUUUGAUUUGGACCACAUAUACCCUGUAUUUCAUUUUGGCAGCAAAAUUGUCCCUGCGGUUAGCACAAGGGACCACAAAUGCCCUCUUAUUUAACAAUCAUUAUUUUCUAUUGACAUGGCACCCCAUGUGGCAAUCCAACUAGGAUAUACCACUACACCUUGGCAAUAAAAAUCCUCUAGGAUGUCCAACUAGGAUCCAUCCUCUACAACCCCAAUCCAGAGUUCCAAAGUUGGGGUUUCCAUUGCAUACCCUUCUUGUCACCUAUAUCCUCUAAUGCUUCAAUUGCAGUGGGUCCUUCCAGCUAAAUUAACAUUGCAGCCUUACCUAGGUCACAAAUGCAAUUAGCUGUAAUAUCGGUAAGGACCUUAUUAGCUGGUUCAUUGAAACCUUCAAAUCCAAUAUUUUCACAUUGGGAUUCUCCAUAUUUAGUCUCUUUAAGUGGUGGUUUCAUAGUUAUAAGAAUUAUGUUGAUAUUAAUAAUGUGGAAAUUUAUCUAUGAGACAAAAAAGGAGGUGAAAAGAAGUUGAAUAAAUCAAGUACUACAAUAUUUUAAACUUGAGUGGUUACUUGUACAAGAACACAGAAAAAUGGCAUUCUACAACAUUUGCCACACUUCGUCUUCCAAUACCAUCAAAGCAUUACACUCCCAUUUCUGAAUUUCAGUUCGCAAUGAAAACCCAUCUCUCACAUUCCCCAAAUUUGGUGCUCUGAAUUGGGGGUGUAGAGGAUGGAUCCUAGUUGGACAUCCUAGUGGAUUUUUAUUGCCAAGGUGGAGUGGUAUAUCCUAGUUGGAUUGCCUCAUGGGGUGCCAUGUCAUUAGAAAACAAUGGUUGUUAAAUAGGAGGGCAUUUGUGGCUCCUCGUGCUAACGGAAGGGAUAGUUUUGCUACCAAAAUGAAACAGAGGGUAUAUAUGGUCCAAAUCAAGUAGUUCGAGAGUAAUUUUGACCUUUUUCCGUUUUUUAAAAAACGAAAGGGGCAGCUUUAUAAGGAAGCUUGCUUUAGAAAAAAAAUUAGAAGAUGAACAAAUGACAGUAAGUGGAAUUUGAUCCCUCGACUUGAAGGAGUUAAUACGGACUCUCAACCAGUGCACCACUUAAUUUCUUUUUAUCAUGGGUUCCUUCAGAUAAUAUGAAAUAUGUUAUUUUUGAUAACCCAUAUGAAAUACUCCCUUCGUUUCGGAAUAAGUGAAUUGUUGGGGUUUUUAUUGGUAUUUCAAAAUAAGUGAAUCAUUAAUUUUUUUUUUCCAAAUUUAUCCUUAUGAUUUGACAACCAAUUAACUUUUGAAAAGGUAUUACAAGGUUAGUUUUUCUUUUUUUUGGGGUAAAAAUGAAAAGUUAUGUUAAAUUUAUGUCUUUAAUGCUUUUUCCUUAAUCCGUGUGCCAAAAUUCAACAAUUCAUUUAUUAUGAAAUGGAGGGAGUAUGUUUUAAGAAGUAUACAAAUAAUAUAGAGAGUUUAGUCAGGUGACCACAGGUCCACAGGGGUUCAUAUGACCGUUCUUUACACCAAAAUUUGCCACUGGUGAUAGUGGUCUCUCCGUCACAUACUUCAACUAAAUGUAACUCCUAAGAAGGUGAUUUGAACAUACAUACAUAAAUGUUAUCCAUCAUGGAAACUAAACUUCUUGUGCACAAAUAAUUUUUGAAUGCAUUACUGUACGCCUAUGUCUCAUUAGGCUGAUGUGGUUGUAAAGCUUGAUACUCAAGCCAUCCAGAAGAGAGAUAGUUUCAAGUAUCUUGGGUCUAUGAUUCAAGGUAAUAGAGAGAGUGGCGAGGAUGUCACUCACCGGAUUGGGGUAGGGUGGAUGAAAUAGAGGCUCGUGUCUGGAAUCUUGUGUCACAAGAAGGUGCCUCCUAAAAUCUAAGGCAAGUUCUGCAAAGUGGUGGUUAGACCGACUAUGUUGUAUGUGGCGGAGUGUUGGCCAAUCAAGAAAUCUCACAUCCAAAAGAUUUAGGUGGUGGAGAUUAGAAUGCUAUGGUGGAUAUGUGGGUGUAUAAGGAAGGAUAUGAUUAGAAAUGGGGUUAUUUGAGAUAAGGUGGGAGUAUCGUCGGUUGAAGCCAAGACGUGGGAAGUGAGGUUAAGAUGGUUUGGGCAUGUGAUAAGGAGGGGCAUGGAUGCCCCAAUGUAAAGGUGUGAGAGACUGAGAGGUUGGCUAGGGAUGGCUUCAGGCAAGGUGGCGUUUGAAAAGGUAUUACAAGGUUAGUUUUUCUUUUUUUUGGGGUAAAAAUGAAAAGUUAUGUUAAAUUUAUGUCUUUAAUGCUUUUUCCUUAAUCCGUGUGCCAAAAUUCAACAAUUCAUUUAUUAUGAAAUGGAGGGAGUAUGUUUUAAGAAGUAUACAAAUAAUAUAGAGAGUUUAGUCAGGUGACCACAGGUCCACAGGGGUUCAUAUGACCGUUCUUUACACCAAAAUUUGCCACUGGUGAUAGUGGUCUCUCCGUCACAUACUUCAACUAAAUGUAACUCCUAAGAAGGUGAUUUGAACAUACAUACAUAAAUGUUAUCCAUCAUGGAAACUAAACUUCUUGUGCACAAAUAAUUUUUGAAUGCAUUACUGUACGCCUAUGUCUCAUUAGGCUGAUGUGGUUGUAAAGCUUGAUACUCAAGCCAUCCAGAAGAGAGAUAGUUUCAAGUAUCUUGGGUCUAUGAUUCAAGGUAAUAGAGAGAGUGGCGAGGAUGUCACUCACCGGAUUGGGGUAGGGUGGAUGAAAUAGAGGCUCGUGUCUGGAAUCUUGUGUCACAAGAAGGUGCCUCCUAAAAUCUAAGGCAAGUUCUGCAAAGUGGUGGUUAGACCGACUAUGUUGUAUGUGGCGGAGUGUUGGCCAAUCAAGAAAUCUCACAUCCAAAAGAUUUAGGUGGUGGAGAUUAGAAUGCUAUGGUGGAUAUGUGGGUGUAUAAGGAAGGAUAUGAUUAGAAAUGGGGUUAUUUGAGAUAAGGUGGGAGUAUCGUCGGUUGAAGCCAAGACGUGGGAAGUGAGGUUAAGAUGGUUUGGGCAUGUGAUAAGGAGGGGCAUGGAUGCCCCAAUGUAGAGGUGUGAGAGACUGAGAGGUUGGCUAGGGAUGGCUUCAGGCAAGGUGGCGGUGGACUGAAGAAAUAUUAGAGAGAGGUGAUUAUACAUGACAUGGAGCAGCUUUUGAUCAUCUAGGACAUGACUCUAGAUAGAAAGGUGUGGAGGAGGCGGAUUAGGGUAGAAGGAUAGUAGAUAGGAUGUGUCAUUGUUAGUAGCUAUGUUGCUCAGACUCUUCAAAAAUGUCGACGGGUGCAUGUCGGAUCCUCCAAAAAUAGUGUAUUUUUGAAGGAUCCAACACGGGUGUGGCACCAUUUUUGGAGAGUCCGAGCAACUUAGGUUAAUAGUAGGAGGACUUUGUUUUGUUAUUCGUGCUUGUAGCUAUAGUAUUAGUAUUACUUCAAAGUGUGUCAUUAUUUGUUGUAUUACUUGGUGAGGCUUGUUUAUGUUAUUAUUGGGUGUAGUUAUUCAUAUUGCUUCUUGUCCUUUUACUAUUUCUUUUCUAGAUUGUUGUAUCUUGAGCCGGGGGUCUACCGGAAAUAGUUUCUCUACCUCACAUCUGAGGCAGUGGUAUGGACUGCGUACACUUACCCUCCCCAGACCUCACUUGGUAGGAAUAUACUGGGUAUGUUGUUGUUUUACUGUACGCCUCUCAUAUUAAGUACUCGUUCAUGUGGAAUGCAGUACACCUCUCAUAUUGAAGUCCUCGUUCAUGUGGUGUUAGCAAUUUCUCUAACAUGAUGUCUCAUUCUGGGUUUUAGCAGCAAGUCUAUCCUCUGUAAGAAAAUUCUAAUGUUGUUAAAUGAUUUGCAGUACACGGUAAAAAAUUUGCAGUUUGCAUUAACAGUUGAACCUGGCAAUGCCAAAAUUGCACAAAAGUUGGCAUGGGCUGAGCAUCAGAGAAGAGUAGGCCAUCCAACUAUUCCAUCAACCAUUCAGGAAGAAUUUGAGAGUAACCCAUUCAUGCGGGUUGAUCUU